GCUAAAAAAUGUAGAAAAAGAAACGGUUGAAGCUUUUUUUUUUACUGAUCUAUUGAUUUCUUUUUAUUCUUGAAAUUCUCAAGUUCUGAAUUACUUAUUGGUUAAUCUAGGGUUCAAUAUGGAUUUAUUUAGGGUUUGAAAACUGGGUUUGGGAAUGUGGCCGAGUUCAAUUAAUUGUGACAUCUUAUUUCUUAGCAUGAAUCUGGUUAUUCUUAUUUGUCUUUGUUGCUAACCCUGUUCUCGCUACUGUUUCACUAUUGAUCCUCUUACCCUGCUUUCAUUUUUAUUUCAGGUACUGGUUCUUAAACUUGUAGAAUUGAUGCUCAAGUUGGAGCUGAAAUAGAAAUGGAAGUUGGUUUUUAGCUUAACACUAAGUUGUGUUCAUAGUUUAGAUUUUUUACUUACUUGUGUUUCCUGUUUUUCAACCCUAGAAUAUGUAAUUGGAAACUGAUUUAGUACGUUGUAUGCUGGUUGGUAAUUUGGAUGAGGCCCCUCAAGUGUAAUCACCUUG
rnacentral:lncRNA from 1 species